rnacentral:rRNA from 1 species
UACGUAGGGGGCGAGCGUUGUCCGGAAUUAUUGGGCGUAAAGAGCGUGUAGGCGGCCCGGUAAGUCCGCUGUGAAAGUCCAGGGCUCAACCCUGGGAUGCCGGUGGAUACUGUCGGGCUCGAGUCCGGAAGAGGAGUGUGGAAUUCCUGGUGUAGCGGUGAAAUGCGCAGAUAUCGGGAGGAACAUCAGUGGCGAAGGCGGCCCUCUGGUCCAGUACUGACACUCAAGUGCGAAAGCGUGGGGAGCAAACAGG